UGAUUUCAGAAGCGUCAGAAAAAAAACCCCUCUACAACACAGGAGAAGUUCCUGAUUUUAACAUUUCUGAAGAGAGCUGCUGACAGAGAUAUAGAAAACACAGAUUGUUUAUGUUCCUAGAUUCUUCCAUGCUGAUGGCCGUGCACUAGAGUUGGAGCAUAUCUCCUGUCAAAGAACAUCUCUAGACAUUAUGAACCAUAUGACUAAGUUUAGCUCCAACCCCAAUUAAGCAGACCU